ACUUUGGGGGCGGGUUUUGGCGGGAAAAUCUGUAAUGUUUGGAGAAGACAAGAUGGCGCUGGUUACCUCGUCUCAUAUCAAAGGGCAUUUUUGUUCACAAAUACCCGCUUAUUUUACGUUAUAGCGACUGGUUCGUUUUGGAAAUUAUAACUCAAUGGACGGGGAAAAUGAUUCUGUAUUAAAGAGAAAAUGAUGUGCAGUUAUUGUGAUGUUAUUUGUUGCGAAAGACGGCCCGAAAUUUCGCUACUUCGCAGUACUGGUUUAUAAAACAUUUACAAGCAACAGCAAUUGAAUUAUAUGACAAAGAAACCAAUGUAUACAAGCCAAUCAAGUUCUUCAGUUUAAAGGUCUGUUUACUUUUUAAUAAUUAGUUCAUUUAGUUGUACAUUAAUACGAAGUACUGGAACAGUACGCCUAGUCACAGAAUAGGAAGGUAUACCCGGUUUUCACUUGUUUCCAUCUACCAAACUGACAUUACGUCAUUUGAUCAAUUUCUAAAGUAGUUUCUUUUUGGAUUUUUUCAUUAAUUUGGUUAGGGUUAGAGUUAGGGUUGCGGUUAGGGUUAGAGGUUAGAGUAGGGGUGGGGUUUGGGCUAGUUACAUAGCCAUUUAACACCCCUUCCAUCUUCCAAAAAUGACGUCAUGUCAGUUUGGUAGUUGGAAACAAGUGCUGACCGGUAUACCCAUCCAGAUGAUCUUGAUACGCGGAAAAGUACUGGCACUAGUUGUCAAAUAGAAAUCCAUUUUAUGAUUAAAACAACUGAAUAUCUCCUGUAAUAUACUUUAUUUCGAUUCCAUAUUUUUGUCAGAGCUAUAGUUCUCAUAGCCAGACAUAAUUACAAAAUUUCAACUAGUUUCAUCAAGAAUAACGAAAGAUAUAAUUGACGGAACACAUCAAAAUGGAUUUCUAUUCGGACAGCCCUUUCUGAGCGCUGAUUGGCUAAAAUACGAGCACAAGAUCACCUGGAUUGAACUAAAAAAAACUGGAACGAUACCUCCAGCCGGAAAUGUGAAGCCAUGCCCAGGCAUGCCCACUGUUGUCAUUCCCCAGUCUUUUCACGUAACUGAAAUGAACACGGGUUUUUUAAAUUUCCAAAACUGGGUAAAAAAAUGCACUAAAACAUGAUUUAAAACGACGUAAAAUGUACCUACCAGUGCAUUUUUUACAAUAAAAACAUCCUUCAAAACUCUAGAGUAAAAUAUUUUUAAUUUAUUUGUGUAGAAUUCAUAAUUAAAUUUCCUUUUUUGAAAAAAAACGUUGAGCAAGGAGGUGGAGCUUGCCGUGGUCUAAUCAUAAGUAUUUGUGUGAAUUUCCCUAUUUUGCUCAUUCGUUUCCAAUUUAUUCGUCUGAAAGUUAGGAAAAAAGGUAUUCUAACAAGAUCAAACUACCAACCACAGUUUAAUUAUGUUUUGUAGUAGAGUAUUUAUUAAGUUUUAAAGGUACAAAAUAACAAGUAUAAACAUUAAAGACAUUAAGAAAGCUUUUUUCGCGGACAAGUAUUUCAUGUCGCGAUUAUUCACAUUCGGCAAGAAAUACACAGAACAAGUCGUCAACGAAGGCAAACAAAGUGAUAGAUACAGAUUAAAUAAAUGUAUCUUGUUUAACAAUCAAUGAAGUUGUUAUAAAUAUAUGUUUAAUACGUUAAGAUAAAGAAUUACUUAUCUUUCUCAAGUUUCAUCUGCAUAUAAACGUUCCAGUCAUUCAAAUAUGCACUUGUUGUCUCCAAUCAGUUACUUUCUUCCUUGCAAUUUUAGUCGGUAGGGUUCAAGAUAUGUUUUAAAUACACUUUUAAUACAAAAAUAUAGCUUAAAACCCUAAAUAAACGACAAUUUUCUAUCCUUUCGUCCGAGAAAAAACAUUCAGUCACUUCGCCGUAAUGGUCUCGCGAGAAUGUCUCGCAACACAAACGCACGUCUGGAGGUAGAACACACGCGGCUGGAGGUAAAAUUUGGCUUCAUCCGAUCAUAAGCCAAUCCUGUCGGAGGUAGCGUUCCAAGUAUUUUUAGUUCACUGGGUAUACCAGAAGCGUAACUCAAGCAAGUAUUUGUCCGCGUUUUUACAAGCGAUUCGUCAUCAAUCACGCCAUCCUGGCUAGUACAACCGGCACUUUGUACCUACCAAAACCAGUGAACUCUAUAUAUAUAUAUCUGGAAUGAUAACAGCGAGCGAAAUGUGAAGCCGACAAAAAAAAUCAUGACAUAAGUAUUCGUCAUUGUCUUCGUCAUCAACUGUUCAAGAACAAUCACUUAUAUAUAAAAUUUGUAAUUGUUUUGAAAGUUUUUAUCACAGUUUUUAUAUCUUUAUUCACUUUUAACCUAAAGAUGGAGUUAUACUCCGAAACGUAGUUAUUAAAAUAAUUUUUAAUAGGCAAUUCCAGCUUUUAGUUUAUGCCUGCAGGGGAUGAUGGGAAGUAAGGUAUCAUAGUGCUGAUUAUGCUGAAAAAUUUCAAUAAAAACAAGCGAAAUAUUUCAAUAUUUACAAGUAUAAGCUAUCACUACGUGUUUACACGGCCACCAUUUUUAUUUUUUUCACCAUAAUCAGCAAUGUGAUACCUUAUUUCCCAUCAUCCCCUGCACGCAUAAACUAAAAGCUGGAAUUGCCUAUUGGCUUUCCCAAUUUCAAAAUUAAUUUUUGCUUCAAAACUCGCUAUUUUGUAAACAUUACAGCUAUUGAAGCACAGCUUAGAGACAGGAAGUUUUACCUCGCAGUUUGAUUGUUGAAACGCACAAGUUACCAAGGGCAAAUUCAUGGGAAAUUUAGGCACUUUCGGCACAGAAUACUACACAGAAGGCCAUCUCCAUUGUUUUUAGAGUAAGCACUAUUUGUCAUGAUUCGUCGCUCAGCAAGUACCGUAAACAGAAGCAGUCCCCCCCCUGGAAAUACUAAAAAUGGCGAACGUCCAGGGGGUGACUGCUUCUGUUUACGGUACUUGCUGAGUGACGAAUCAUGACGAAUAACGCUUAUGCAAAAAACAAUGGAGAUGGACUUCUGUGUAGUAUUCUGUGCUUUCGGUCAAUGGGUUGUUCCAGAAAAGAUCCAUACCCCCCAUGCUGUCCGAAGGGUGAGUGAGGAAAAAUGUCUUAGGAUGUCCUAGGGGGGGGGGAGGAAAUGCGGAUAUAACAUUGUCCGAAGGUUUUAGACAGUGAUAAAUCUAUGUGAUCGGCGAUUAUAAUGAGCACGCAAUUUUUAUCGGCUAUAGCCCUUAAAAACUGGAACGUUUAUGUAACAGCAAUAAUUAUACGUCCACAUAACUCGUAAGCAAAAUAGCGGCCCACUUUUGCAUGCAUGGCCACCAAAAACUAACUCGCUGUAACAGUUGUAUCCUGCAUAUUGAGAAUGAGUCGAAAAUUUACACACUUUAUUUAUAUAAAAGUAAAGUUUUGCAGUUUUUGUAUGUAUAAGUUUGAAUUAUUCAAGUGUUAAAAAUAAUAGUUAUUAAACUGUUGCUUGAAUUAAGAGACUGCUAUGUGAACUAAACUCAAUAUUUAGAAUACCCAGUUUCAGUAUACAGUCAAUAAAAGCUUCCUUGCGAGGUGUGUGCCUAGAAAAUAGAAAUGGCUGUCAUAUUAAGGGCGAGGUUAAGGAAUGCAGUAAUACUAAAAAUGCAUUAACAUGUAAGUAAACACAGCAACGCUUCUCAAUCAGUCGCAAGUUACAUUGAAUUUCAGUCCGAAUUUUACUUGAUCGAAUUUCGAAGUGAAUUUCUGCAAAUUAUCCACCAAAGUCUGCCAUGUGUUUGUGUUCACAAGAAGCCGCCAAGUGUUCCACCACCACGCCGGAGCUAUUUGACAACAAUGUAGAAAAGUCACAAUAAGCCAUCGCUUUCACACUACGCUGGAGCGAAAUAGUUUGAAAACUUUCACAACACCUUUGCCAAGUACGCUACCAGCCUGAAUUGCUGAAAGCUGUUGCAAAAAACUGUUUUAUAUUACUACUUUACAAAAUGUAAUAAUUGGAUGCUAUACUUCAGUUCUUGUAUGAUAGUGCUUAUAAAUAAUUAUUAAUAUCAAACUAAUAAUCAUUAGUUCGAUAUUAAUAAUUAUUUAUAAGCGCUAUCAUACAAGAAAUGUCAAGAAUGAAUUUUCCUUCAAUGGUGGUUUUUUAUCCGUCAAAAAAAGUUUAAUAUAGUUUUGACGAGAGAAAUGUUUCUCAACAAUUUGCAGAAAGUUUUGAAUUGGGCUAUUCCAUUUAAAAGACGUAACCCCCCUAUCAAGGACAAUGGUUUUACCAUAUCUCUGAAGAAUUCCUGACAUAAAAGAGAUCCCCUGAAGAAUUCCUGUUACCCCUGAAGAAUUACAAUUUUUACAUCUGACCCCUAAAGGAAUUGCAUUUGAAAUAACCAAGCCCUGAAGAAUUCCACAGGAGAAUUUGUUUACCCAUGAGGAAUUCCGGAGUUAAAAAGGGAGAUUAUGGAUAUUAAAUGGAAUAGCCAAUUUUCUGGAAAAUUUAGCCCAAUUUUCUGGAAAAUUUCCUGGUUGUUUUCCCUUGCAGCUUGUUUAUAAACAUGCUUGUUUAUCUAUAGCAUCAUUUGUAGAAAAGGUGUUGAAAGCAUUUUUUGAAAGCAAUGACGAUUAUCAAAUGACAAAUGAUCAUGCGAGCGACACUUGCUAGGAAGAUGGUGACUGUGGGACAACUAUAUAGUUUUGUUUGUGGAAACACCACAUAAAUUUAUUACUGCAAAGCUUUCGAUCCGUAAGCCCGGAUCUUCAUCAGUGCUAAUAUGUGACUUGUUUAAUUCACACGCCCUUUUUAUAUACAAAAAAUGUCUUGAUCUGUUGGCUCACAUAUUAGCACUGAUGAAGAUCCGGGCUUACAGAUCGAAAGCUUGGCAGUAAUAAAUUUACGUGGUGUUUCCACAAACAAAACUAUUAUAUGUUUUAUCGCCAUGCAAACAUACAAAGAACUUAUUGUGGGACAACUUUUUUACUGAAGUUAUACAUCUGUCUUCACUUAAUCUGUGGCUCAGCUGGCUAGACCUUGAUUCUUGCCUGUGGUCCCCUUUGCAUUUGACCCAAAUGUUUCGGUCAUUUUAUAUUUGCCAAUAUAAAUCUUUUUGGCAUAGAAAUUAUACAUUUGGAAUAAUAAUUUUGUAUGCUGCAUUCAAUCUAUUCUCCAUUCAGGGAGAUUCUUUUGUAAAUACCCACACCAAUCAGAAGUCUGUAUUUUUAUGCUAAGACAGAAAUUGGCAUCCCAGAGAGUAAAUUAUAUUCACGUUUAGGGCAUGUUUCAGCUCUAUAUCUUGCCGUUGCAAGUUGCUUUGCGUUUGAUGUUUGUUCUGGGAUAAAAUAUUGAAUUAUACCUUAAAUUAAUGUUUUGUGAAAUUUAGUUUAAAUAAUUUAGUAGAGAGAUGAGUGCAUAAAGCAUAGGGAUUUUGAAGCUAAAUAUGUUAUAAAAUUUGUCAUUUUAGUGAAUGCGUUCUUUUCUGCUCGUCCUGGUUGUUGCAAGGAGACAUCAGGCAUUGUAAUGGAUGAUGACAAUGUGUCGCUGGCAAACCUACACCGUGUGCAUUUUCUUGGUGGAUAUCUUGGGCAAAUAUCUUAUAUAAAUUGGUAUGAUUGCUUACCUUAAAUUACUAAAGAAGGAUGAUGUUGUAAGGUUAGUGGAUAUUUAUAGUAGUGAUAAAAUGGGGGUUCCCUAUGAAUAGGAACAAAGUAAGGCUGCCUAAUUAAGUGGAAACAAUAUUGUGCAGUGUAACAAUCUAAAAAUAUGGCGGACUGAAAUCUGUAAAAAUGAUGCAUGUUUAAUUUAAAACAUGCAAAAAUUGCAGCAUAAAUAUAUCACGAAACAUGCUUCUUACAACUACAUGCUAUGUUUAUAGGAAUUUGAAUAAGUUUUUAGUAGGCAUGAUUUAGGAUUUUUGUUUUAUUUUCAUUUAUGAUUUUCUAUAAAUGCCCCAACUAGUUUAUAU
rnacentral:lncRNA from 1 species